UACGAAGGGGGCUAGCGUUGCUCGGAAUCACUGGGCGUAAAGGGUGCGUAGGCGGGUCUUUAAGUCAGGGGUGAAAUCCUGGAGCUCAACUCCAGAACUGCCUUUGAUACUGAGGAUCUUGAGUUCGGGAGAGGUGAGUGGAACUGCGAGUGUAGAGGUGAAAUGCGUGGAUAUCUGGAGGAACACCGGUGGCGAAGGCGGCAUCCUGGACCGACACUGACGCUGAGGAGCGAAAGCUAGGGGAGCAAACAGG
rnacentral:rRNA from 1 species